UGAGUAACAUGCCCGGAGGCACAGAGCUAGUAAUUGGCAGAGCCAGGAUUCAAGCCCAGCGAGGCUGCUCCAGAACCCGGGCUCUUGCCAGCUCCGCAGGCUGUCUCCUAGGAGUUGUUCGAGGG